rnacentral:rRNA from 1 species
GAUCAUGGCUCAGAUUGAACGCUGGCGGCAUGCUUUACACAUGCAAGUCGGACGGCAGCACAGAGAAGCUUGCUUCUUGGGUGGCGAGUGGCGAACGGGUGAGUAAUAUAUCGGAACGUACCGAGUAAUGGGGGAUAACUAAUCGAAAGAUUAGCUAAUACCGCAUAUUCUCUGAGGAGGAAAGCAGGGGACCUUCGGGCCGUUGCGUUAUUUCGUAGCGGCCGAUAUCUGAUUAG